AUUGAACGCUGGCGGCAUGCCUUACACAUGCAAGUCGAACGGCAGCACGGGAGCAAUCCUGGUGGCGAGUGGCGAACGGGUGAGUAAUAUAUCGGAACGUGCCCAGUCGUGGGGGAUAACGCAGCGAAAGCUGUGCUAAUACCGCAUACGAUCUAAGGAUGAAAGCGGGGGAUCGCAAGACCUCGCGCGAUUGGAGCGGCCGAUAUCAGAUUAGCUGGUUGGUGGGGUAAAGGCCCACCAAGGCGACGAUCUGUAGCUGGUCUGAGAGGACGAGCAGCCACACUGGAACUGAGACACAGUCCAGACGCCUACGGGAGGCAGCAGUGGGGAAUUUUGGACAGUGGGCGCAAGCCUGAUCCAGCAAUGCCGCGUGCAGGAUGAAGGCCUUCGGGUUGUAAACUGCUUUUGUACGGAACGAAACGGCCCUUUCUAAUACAGGGGGCUAAUGACGGUACCGUAAGAAUAAGCACCGGCUAACUACGUGCCAGCCGCCGCCGUAA
rnacentral:rRNA from 1 species